UUUACUCUAUGCUGCAUAGGCUGCUAAAUUGGUUUCAGAGCAGCAGUUAGACUCCAGGGAUGUGCGGCACACACAGCCAACUAGCUGCGUUUGCUUUUGUGGGGUGUAGGAAAUUUGAUCACUCUCCUUGUUGCCAACCCACAUCCCACCAAUCUCCACCACCAAGAAUGAAGGAGAAAUGAGGACAGUCAUUCCUAAACAGGCGUCUGGAAAUUGGAUGAGAUGUUCGUUUAGCGGGCAGCUGGUCUGGGGCCGAUAUGAAUUGCGUUUCCCCACGCCAGGAAAGGUCAAGCCCCCUCGCCUUGACGGAGUGCAUCAGCCUAUUGAGUGGCGCUUUAGUCCAUUUACCAGCAACCAAUGGCACAGCGGCGCAUGGAAGAGAGUGCGGCACAAAAACUGUGUGUAGUAAAGAGAAAAGAAUGACAACACGUCAGAUAUAAAUUCAUUGUUUCUCAUCACCCAGCUGGGGUAGGAAUGGCUGGGAGUAAUUGGUGGGAUGGGGGACAUGGGAUAGGAAUAUUGCCAUCUGAGUCGGCUGUGCAUGUGUGGGAAAGGAGAUCAGAACCAAUUUAGCAGCAGUGUUCACUUUGGUGCAAAUGCCUAAAAAUUAAAACUAAAAGAAAAUCAACUGGCAGUGAGAAUGUGGCUAGUAAAACAUGUAUUGACCCUAGUUACUAUCAUUUAUCAAGUAACAUACUCUGGUUCUGAAAAUUACACACAGCCUUGUCAAAUUAUUAGGUUUCUGUGAUGAAACAAAUGAGACCAAAAUAAAUAUUUUCAAAACUUUA